rnacentral:rRNA from 1 species
CCUACGGGUGGCAGCAGUGAGGAAUAUUGGUCAAUGGACGAGAGUCUGAACCAGCCAAGUAGCGUGAAGGAUGACUGCCCUAUGGGUUGUAAACUUCUUUUAUAUGGGAAUAAAAUGUUCCACGUGUGGGAUUUUGUAUGUACCAUAUGAAUAAGGAUCGGCUAACUCCGUGCCAGCAGCCGCGGUAAUACGGAGGAUCCGAGCGUUAUCCGGAUUUAUUGGGUUUAAAGGGAGCGUAGGUGGAUUGUUAAGUCAGUUGUGAAAGUUUGCGGCUCAACCGUAAAAUUGCAGUUGAAACUGGCAGUCUUGAGUACAGUAGAGGUGGGCGGAAGUCGUGGUGUAGCGGUGAAAUGCUUAGAUAUCACGAAGAACUCCGAUUGCGAAGGCAGUUCACUGGACUGCAACUGACACUGAGGCUCGAAAGUGUGGGUAUCAAACAGGAUUAGAUACCUAGUAGUC